GCCGGUGUGCAGGGUGGGAGUUCUUCGCCUCUUAAGCGGGUUGUUGCUGGUUCGAGUCCAGUCACCGGCC
rnacentral:tRNA from 1 species